rnacentral:pre_miRNA from 1 species
UUACCUCUGCAGGCUGGCUGGCGCCCAGGCUGGACCGAAGGAGUAUCUCUUUGAACGGCUCACUCUCAAGCAGAACAAGGAGU